CAGGAGGCUGCAAAUCAAUACAACAUCAAGCCAAGGAGCAAUUUGGGGCCUGGUUCCAGGCCAUGGAGCCCCUAAGGGAGGAUGAGAAAUACAGCCUGUCCUGCCAGCUGGAGCCCCCAUUCCAGUAGAGGGCCGGG